rnacentral:rRNA from 1 species
UAGGUGGGGUCCGAGCUCGGAGAGUUUGAUCCUGGCUCAGAACGAACGUUGGCGGCGUGGAUUAGGCAUGCAAGUCGAACGAGAACCGUAGCAAUACGGGGAAAGUGGCGAAAGGGGCAGUAAUGCAUGGGUAAUCUACCCUGGGGAUGUGGAUAGCUUUCCUAACGGAUUGGUAAUACACAGCGACCCGGCGAGGAGACAUCUUUUUGCCGGCAAAUGAAUUUCGCCCUGGGAGGAGCUCAUGUCGUAUUAGCUUGUUGGCGGGGUAACGGCCCACCAAGGCAGAGAUGCGUAGCGGGUGUGAGAGCACGACCCGCGCCACUGGCACUGAGACACUGGCCAGACACCUACGGGUGGCUGCAGUCGAGGAUCUUCGGCAAUGUGCGCAAGCAUGACCGAGCGACGCCGCGUGUGCGACGAAGGCCUUCGGGUUGUAAAGCACUGUCGAGGGGGAGGAAAGCCGAAAGGUCUGACCUAUCCCUGGAGGAAGCACGGGCUAAGUUCGUGCCAGCAGCCGCGGUAAGACGAACCGUGCAAACGUUGUUCGGAAUCACUGGGCUUAAAGGGCGCGUAGGCGGACCAUCAAGUCAGAGGUGAAAUCCCCCAGCUCAACUGGGGAACUGCCCCUGAUACUGGCGGUCUCGAGUAAGGUAGGGGCGUGCGGAACUGAUGGUGGAGCGGUGAAAUGUGUUGAUAUCAUCAGGAACUCCGGUGGCGAAAGCGGCACGCUGGACCUUCACUGACGCUGAUGCGCGAAAGCCAGGGGAGCAAAC